CAUGUUUAGAUCCAAGAUGAGACUUAGGAACUAUUCCUAGUUCUGUAAUGAACUUUUCAUCCAAACAAUCAACUUGCAACUUCAUUUAUAGCUAUAUAAUUUGUCUUUAUCACUAAACCAGCAAAUCUUUGUUGUUUGGAGUCUUUUCAAUUUCACUGCACCACUAUUCAAGGUAACCUUCUACCUUAGAGUGGAUUUUCUGUCGUCUUGGUCUGUCUGAAAAACUUGAGUCUUUUAAGCCUUCUAGUUUUAAUUUAGACCCACCAUAAAUUUUAAUCACAUCCUUAGUGCCAGUUAAGUACUUUAAGAUGUUUUUCACUGUCUUACAGUGAUCUUCUCCAGAAUAUGAUCGAUCAUCAUCAGGUCUCAUAUAUUUCAUUGUAUACAUAAUUGUCACUCAUGCAAUCUCUCUUUUCAAGAGUCUAUGGGGACUAUUAAGAGAGAUACACUCCAUGACUGUUGAUCAAUUUCACAAUCAAUGAAUAUGUCCAAGUAUACACGGUCAACAAGUAAUAAAGUGAUAAGAAAAGUAUCGUUCCCAUGAGGAAUUAUUUAAUAAAAAUGACCAAGUACUGACUCUUAACCAAAUUAAUUUUAUUUAAACAAUUGCUAAGUGUGAUUUUUGUAAUUAAGAAAACUAAAUUAAUCAAUUAAAACUAGAUUACUCUAAAAUUAAUUCAAAUAAAUAAAGAUUAAGACUCGAUGAAUGAAUUCAGAUAAAUAAAGGUUAAAACUACAAUAUUCCCAAUUAUUAUGCCUAAUGAAUUGUUAACAGGAAUUCUAAGUGUUAAAAGCCCUUUCCCAAGUGAUCAGUUAAAUUUUAUUCAAUUCAAUCAAUCUUGCGAUAUUCCUAUGCAAAAUAAUUAAAUUAAACCCAUUAAGUUCCAAUUUCCAAUUUGUUACAUACAGUGAUCAUAUAUUCCUAUUCAAUUCAUGACCCUAAUUAUUCUCAUACAAAUAAUCAAGCAUACAUGUUAUCAUGUCCAGUUCUAACCCGAAAUUUCAUCUUCUGAAUCCUUCUAGAGUAACACAGUAAUUAUUGGCCAAAUAAUCAAUCAAUAUGCAGAAGACAUGAUAAACAAUUCACCUUGACAUAAAUAAUUGGAAUAAAUUAAAUAAUUAAUUCAUAGACAUAAAAGGUUCAAUUUGUAGUCUUAAUAAAAGAGUUAGUUCAUAACGAAAAAUAAAACCAACAAUCUCAUGAAAAUCAUCUUAAAAGAAUUACACAAUUAAAAAUAAUAAUAAGAAGAAACUCUCAAAGAAAAUCUCCCAAGCUUCAAUCUUCAAUUGAAAUUCUUCUCCACAAUCUCCUGCUAAUCCUUGAUUAAUCUUCAGCUCUAUACAAAAUAUUAUUAUUAUAUUGAACAAUAAUUAUUCUUAAAUAUAAUACCAAAGAUUUCAUUGUCCACCAACAAAAUGGAAAUAAUGUUUCUAACAAGAACUGGAAUACAAUAACAACUUAUUGACUUAAUAGAUUUGCCCAUAGGCAAUGCUAAACUAUAAGUUUCUAUGGCUAAUGCAACAACCUUUGCUUCAUUUCCCAGAUAUAGGAUUACUUAUCUUUGUUUAGCUUUCUACUUUUGCUUGGUCCCUUCAUAAAUCUAUAUUUAUGAUAACCAAAGUCAGUAUCCAAUACCCAAGUAGAACCUUGACCUAAAGAAAAAAUGUAUUUUAAUCAUGAACAAAAAACUAUAUUUGUUACCGAAGCUUGACUAAGCUUCUUCUUGUUAGCCUCUACAAGAUACUUCUUGCAGUUUCUUUUUCAGUGUCCAAGCUUAUUGCAGUGGAAGAAAACUCUUUUGCUAUAUGUAUCAGUUUUGUUCUUAUUAUCCUUUAUUUUUACCUUUCUAUUUACCUUCUUUGAAUUGUUCUUCUUUUUAGAAGAUCCUUUGGCCCCUACCAGUAAGACUUGGUUUUUCUUGAUUGGAAAGUGACUCUCAGCUAUUUUUCAACAUGUUAAGCAAAUCAGCGAAGCUGAUAUCUAGCUUGUUCAUAUGAAAAAUUCACAACAAUUGUGAAAGGAGUCUGGGAGUGAGUGCAAGAUCAAAUCUUGAUUCAACUCUCCGUCCAUGACAAAACAUGUUGUCCUAAUUGUUCAAUCAAAUUAAUCAUGUUUAAGACAUGUGUCGUUGGUCGUUCUAGAUCGGAAGAGUUCUUUAGAUAUCUGAUAUCUAUCAGUCCUACUUUCCUCACCAUCAACUACUUGAUGCGCAAGAAUAUAGAAAGAGCAUCCAUAGUUUUAUGCUGACACUGAAGCUCGUUACUCAUGGAUGCAAGCAUGAUGCAUUGAGCCAACCUUGCAUCAUCUUGCCACUUUUUAAAAGUAGCAAUGUCUUCCUCAGAGGCAUUGUCUGCAACCAUUACAAGGAUAAGCGUAUUAAGGACAUAAGAUAGCUUUUCAACCAUGAGAACUAUUCUCAAAUUCCUUAACCAAUCCGUUUAAUUCCGUCCGGUUAAAUAACAUCUAAUAUGCUUCGCAGUGAUAGUAAUUUAGACAUUGUAAAAUUCUGUAAAUGAAUUUGUAAUUGACAAUAUUUUAGCAUACAUUAUUUAUUAAUUACCAAAAUAAAUUAGGUCUUAUUUUAAAUUGGUAUCUCUCAUUAUUUUCAUCAAACUCUAUUACCCUCAUUUAUAUAGUUCGACAAAAUCUAAUUAAAGAUUUGCUAGUGAGAAUAAGGAUCCCAUUUCAAAUGUAUAUAGCCUUGUGGUGACACAACAAACUAUAUAUAAAUAAAUAGGUAGACAACUCUUGUCAAUUACAUCAACUAUGCAACUCCUU
rnacentral:lncRNA from 1 species